rnacentral:rRNA from 1 species
CCCGGGCCUUGUACACACCGCCCGUCACGUCAUGAAAAGUCGGCAACACCCCGAAGCCGGUGGCCUAACCCCUUGUGGGAGGGAGCCGUCGAAGGUGGGAUCGGCGAUUGGGACG